AACGAAAAAACUUUAUUGAAUAAAGAUUAUUAGGUCCGAUCAUAAUACAACAUAUCAUAAAUCUAAAUCAAAGGACUCAAACAAUCCGAGAAAAACAUAGAAUCUAUCUAACCUUUUUCUGCCAACAAAUGAGCUAACUGAUUACACGAUAUUUUAGUAAAAGAGAAAAAGAUAUUUCUAAACUUGGUUGCCCAAAAGUGAAUAUUUUUGCGUAAGGCUUCGGUAAUGAAGUCCACCGUAAGAACCUUGAUGAUGUUGAUGAGCGCUUCAGAGUCUCUAUUUUUGAUAAAUUGAUGUAUAGCAGUCAGACCACACUUGAUGCAUUGACAUUAGUAGAGCUUUAGCUUCAGCUUCCGGUGGGGUACGUACGGCUCCCCAUCUUUUUGCUUCACCUUGACAUGUAUAUUUAAUUUUUUACUUACAUAAACUUCUUUACAAAAUAAAAAAAAACAGAACCGCAAAUACAACAAAAUUAAACACACGUAU
rnacentral:sRNA from 1 species